rnacentral:lncRNA from 1 species
CGGCCGCCGUCCUCGCGCGGCUUCCCGGGCGGCUCUGCCCCGACCGUAGACUCCCGGCCCGCUCGCCGCGGCAGGAGCCGUGGUUCCGCGGACCUGGGCGCGCUCUCUCCCUGGCCACUGGGAGACCCCCCGCGGCCUCGCGGGGAAAACCUCGGGACUGCCCCGCGCCCCCGGCCGUCUCUGCGUCGCUCCUUCUCGCCCGCGACCGUGGACUCGUCCUCGCGAGCCUGGGUUGGCGGAAGCUGCGGGGGCCGGGGUCGCACUACUUGGCGCGGAAGGGCCGGCGGUGGGCGGAGGGAUCCCCGUCCGCGGGGUGAGCCGCUGGGCGGAGCCGGGAGGAGCCGCGAGGAUCCGCAGUGGGGAGCCGGGAGGAACCUGGCGCCGGCACCCACCCGCCGCGCGCACGCGCUCGGGUCUUCCCGGCGGGUCGUCCUGCACUUUCUCCCUCUCCGGUACGGACCGCGGCGUUCUGUUUCCAGGCAAAGGAAAAUAAGUCAAAGACUCAGAAGGCAGCCUGAAUCCAGGGCCUGGGAUGCAGGGUUUGCUGGAACGCCAGCCGGUGCGAUCGCGCCCCUGGGAUUCCGCUUAGCCCGCGCGUCCAUUUCCCUGCAUGGUGGACUCAGUAAAGCCGGAUCUGUCCAACGCCUGCAGCGUGGAUGUGGAGGCGGACUAAUCAACUAGUGCUCUGUUAUUAUUUCUACCCAUCCCUUUUCUCCAUGCUAAUUUGCUUAGAACUUUAACAUUGAAUGGACAGCAAAUGUCAUGUUCUGUUUAAUUAUCACUCCUUGACCAUUAUGUUAAUUUCUUUCCCUAACAAGGUGACGCAUUGUUUUAAGUAACAAUGACCAACUCAUCUACUCUUCUUCCAAAUUGUGUAAAUUGAAGGGUAAAAUGUGGGAAAACGCUAAAUUUGAAUGCUAAAUUUGAACAUUUCACACAACAAUAAUUUGAAAUGCUUCUUUGCAAUAUUAUGGCGUUUCGGAACAGAUAAAAAUACUUCAUUUUCAGACAUUUGGUCAACAAAUACUUCUUGGACGUUUAUAUGCAAAGCAAUGCAUGUAACAUUUUCAUUACUUUGCAAGUGUGCUUAUCAGUAAAAGAAUUUUGUUUUAAAUUCUAGCCUUCGUUUAAAUGUAUUUUAGUUACCACAUUGGGAAGAAAAUAAAAUAUUACUAUGU